GUGCCAGCAGCCGCGGUAAUACGGAGGGUGCAAGCGUUGUCCGGAAUUAUUGGGCGUAAAGCGCGCGCAGGCGGUCUCUUAAGUCUGAUGUGAAAUCUUGCGGCUCAACCGCAAGCGGUCAUUGGAAACUGGGAGACUUGAGUACAGAAGAGGAGAGUGGAAUUCCAUGUGUAGCGGUGAAAUGCGUAGAUAUAUGGAGGAACACCAGUGGCGAAGGCGACUCUCUGGUCUGUAACUGACGCUGAGGCGCGAAAGCGUGGGGAGCAAACAGGAUUAGAUACCCGAGUAGUCC
rnacentral:rRNA from 1 species